CUUUACCGAUAGUGAGACUCAGUUCUCUACAUUGUCUCUCUGUUGUGUGCUGGUUGCGUACGCCGUCGAUUCAGCUGUUGUGCCCUCUCGACGCCGGCCGACUUCGUCCUUGACUGGAAGAAGAAGAAUCACCGCAAUACAGUAACGAAGACACUUAGGAAGAGGUUCAAUCAUAUUCGGUAUGAACUUCACAAAAUAUACAAGAGUUACAAGACAAACGAAGAAGCUCUUGCGAAUGUGCCAGAGUUGGUGACACCAGCUACUUGGGUGAAGUUAUGCGCUCGAUGGUCAAGCGCGAAAUUUAGGAUGAUAUCUGAGAAAAAUAAAAGUAAUAGAGCGAAGCAACAAACAAACCACACGGCUGGACGAACCUCCUUCGUAAGACUAAGGCAAAUAAGGUCUGAGAGUGAUGAGCACCUUAUUGAUUUCUUUAAAGAGGUGAGGUGGAGUAAGAAGAAGGGUAAAUUUGUGACUCCAGCGACGGAAGAGAAACAUAAUGAAAUGGUUGCCAAGUACUCUAAGUUAGAGCCUGAGAAGCAGACUAAAGAUGUUGUUGCAUCAAUCUUUAGGGAGGUACUAGGCCACAGGCCAGGGUAUGCAAGGGGGUUGGGGGAGAUGGUUAUCCCCGAGUCAUCUAGACAGAACACUGUAGAAAAAUUUGCAGCAUUAACAGAACGUGCAGAGAGGCAUGAGAAGGAUGCUGAGUAUUACAAGAAUCAAUUGGAAGAAUUAGGGGGGAAUGUAGAGAAAGUGUUGGCGAAGCAAGCCGAGUAUGACAAAUUAUUAAGUUCAUAUAUGGAAUCACAGAGGCAAACCCAAGGAGAGUCUCAUAGAGAAACUCAAGGACCUGCGUAGGUAGUUCCAUUUUUAGUCAAUAAGUUUUUUGUGCGUUUUUUGUAUGACUUUGGUUUCUGUAGGCUGGGACCAAAUCAAGAAGUGAAAAAGCUUUGAGAUCAAUGAAGGAGUCUUCCAGUUUUCAGAUGAAGAGAUAGAUACCUUUAAAUUUUGAGAUGAAGAGGCAGCUUCCAUGAUGAUCAAGAAUUGUUUAGGAAAUCCUUGUUAUAUAAUAAAGUUGAGGAGUACACUUGUAAACUUACAUUGAUCCAUUAAUGUGGGAUGUUGGGUUGAAUUUCAAAUAGCACUUUUUAUGAUGAAUGAAUGAUAUAUCGAUACAUGUUGGGGAUAUUUGAAACAUCUAUAUCAUGUAAAUGAUUAAUUCAUGAUAUGGUAUGCUUAUUAGGGAAUAUGUUGAUCUAUUAUA